rnacentral:snoRNA from 1 species
GCCCCCUCAGGUUCUCACCUGGAGGGUUUCCAGUACUCUACUAGUCUCGACUACGGGAGGGAGAAUCAAGCAGAGGUCUAUCCAUUCCAUUCCUAGCUUGGGCAGUGGCUAGAGAGUGGAAGGCCAUCUGCUACAAUU